rnacentral:rRNA from 1 species
GAGCGGUAACAGGCGUAGCAAUACGUGCUGACGAGCGGCGAACGGGUGAGUAAUGCUUCGGAAUCUACCCAGUAGUGGGGAAUAACCAUCCGAAAGGGUGGCUAAUACCGCAUACGUCCUACGGGAGAAAGCGGGGGAUCGUAAGACCUCGCGUUAUUGGAUGAGCCGAAGCCGGAUUAGCUAGUUGGUAGGGUAACGGCCUACCAAGGCGACGAUCCGUAGCUGGUCUGAGAGGACGACCAGCCACACUGGGACUGAGACACGGCCCAGACUCCUACGGGAGGCAGCAGUGGGGAAUAUUGGACAAUGGGGGAAACCCUGAUCCAGCGACGCCGCGUGUGUGAAGAAGGCCUGCGGGUUGUAAAGCACUUUUAGUGGGGAUGAAAAGCCUUGGGAUAACACCCCAGGGUCUUGACCUAACCCACAGAAAAAGCACCGGCUAACUCUGUGCCAGCAGCCGCGGUAAUACAGAGGGUGCGAGCGUUAAUCGGAAUUACUGGGCGUAAAGCGUGCGUAGACGGUCAUGUAAGUCGGGUGUGAAAGCCCCGGGCUCAACCUGGGAAUUGCAUUCGAGACUGCACGGCUUGGGUGCGGAAGAAGGAAGCGGGAUUUCCGGUGUAGCGGUGAAAUGCGUAGAUAUCGGAAGGAACACCAGUGGCGAAAGCGGCUUCCUGGUCCGACACCGACGUUCAGGCACGAAAGCGUGGGGA